rnacentral:misc_RNA from 1 species
AAUCAAUCGAAACAGUUUCUAUUCUAUAUAUGGGCCCUGUAUAAAAAACUUAACAUUUGUAGAUAAUUUUUAAAGAUUAAACUGUUUUUAGUGCUUUAUAGAUUUGCGACUUUAUUUUUUGAAGGAAGCAUGGAAAUUAUUAAAGUCGCUAGGGAAACAUUUUGGUCAACUCGCAUAUGGUUACCUCCCAAUAGCACUUGGGAGGACAUCGCUCCUGGUUCACACCCGGAUGUGACGCACGCCGACUACAGGGAUCUUGUAUGGCCCAUACCAAUGGCGGUAGUUAUUAUGCUACUUCGAUAUGCAAUUGAAAGGUUCUGGAUCAUGCCUAUUGGAAAAUCAUUGGGCAUUAAGUCUUCUCGAUCAAAAAAAGCUUCCAAUAACUCUGUUUUGGAAAGAGCUUACCAAAAGUGUAAUAAGUUGAAUUACAAACUGGUACCGUCUUUAAAAAAACAAACUGAUAUGUCUGAGCGACAAAUUCAACGUUGGUGGCGAUUGAGAAGAGCUGCAGAUAGACCAACAACUAUAGUGAAAUUUUGUGAAAAUACGUGGCGCUGCAUAUAUUAUUCAUACAGCUUUAUUUUUGGAAUUAUCGUCCUUUGGGAUAAAGAUUGGUUUUGGAAUAUAAAGCAUUGUUGGUAUGGUUAUCCGCAUCAGUCUAUUUCUAGUGAUAUAUGGUGGUAUUAUAUGAUAUCUAUGGCUUUUUAUUGGUCCCUUACCGUAACACAGUUUAUUGACGUUAAACGGAAAGAUUUUUGGCAAAUGUUUGUCCACCAUAUGGUCACACUACUACUAAUGGCAUUGAGCUGGGUCUGUAAUUUACACCGCGUCGGUUCCUUAGUUCUUGUCGUACAUGACUGUGCCGACAUAUUUUUAGAGGCUGCAAAAUUGACAAAAUACGCGAAAUAUCAGAAAUUGUGUGAUCUUAUAUUUGCGAUAUUUACUGUUGUAUGGAUUGUAACAAGACUCGGUUUCUUUCCACGCAUAAUUUAUAGCUCAUCUGUUGAAGCUCCAAAUAUUUUACCAAUGUUCCCGGCGUACUAUAUUUUCAACACUCUUUUAAUAUCUCUACUGUUUCUACAUGUAGUUUGGACUUAUUUGAUUUUAAAAAUUGUUGUUGAUUCUUUACAGAAAGGAUUGAUGUCAGGAGAUAUUCGAUCGAGUGAUAGUGAAGACGUGUCUGAUAGCUCUGAAAACGUAAAUAUUCCCAAUGGAAUUGGGGAACUUACAAAAGAAGUUAGCAGUAUGAAUCGGCCGCGUUAAUUAUAAGAGAGAAAUAAUAUUUUAUUCACAUUUGUAAAAUGUAAAUAAAUAGCAAGUUUGAUUAUUUAAUCAAGAAAACCAAAAAAGUUAUGUAAUAAAAGUGAUCAUAGAAAAAUUUACAAAAUGAUUUAAACCAUUAUAUCGUCAUAUACGACGCAAUACAACGUAUGCAGAAACCUAAUACUGAGCUUGAAAUUUAACAUCAAUGAUUAGAAAAGCGUUUAGUACUUUUCUUAGUAAUGGUUAUUUAAAAGUAUAAUAAACAAACAUUAUCGUGCUCUUGAUAAGUCACGCCAAAGUAAGCAGUCGAGUUGUUCAUCUACAAGAUUCAAAUUUAGCAAGUGUUUCAAGAACAGCUCAUGGAUCAGCAAAGAAAACCCUUAAUUUAAAGACCUAUUGGAAAAAUUUUUAUGCUCGAAUCCAGAUUAAUCGUGCUAUAAUCGAACAUGCACUUCGUGCCCGCAAAUCAAUGACGUUCGUGAACAACUUGACUUCUACUACGAAGAAAAUGACAUUGAUGAAGUUUGAUAUAAAAAAUGGACAACGCAUCGCUGUACCAUUCUUAAUGUGACAACUGAAACUGACGAAUUUCUUGAUACCCUCAUGAAAGAUCUAAGAAAACUUUUACUUCAUGACUUCGUGGCCUCAAAACAAAGUAAAUAUUUCACUGAAUUGAAAGAAAAUUUGGGUCCAGGUGAAAUACUUCUAGUAAAAGAUUUUGCAGAAAAUUAUGCAUUCGUCACGACGCUGCUCAAACCUUACACUGGAAGAAGGCUACACUAUUUCCAGCGGUAAUUUAUUAUAAAGAACAUGGAGUUUUGAAACAUUUCUGUUUCAAACAUGAUUAUGUCUCUGUAUACAUGUUCCAGCAGAAAGAGAUCGAAUAUUAAAAAAAAAGUGCAGUAAUUGAAAAAAUAUUUUACUUCUCUGACGGAGCAUCACAACAAUUCAAAAAUAAAAAGGCUUUCGCGAAUUUACGUCAUCAUUACACAGAUUUUCAAAUUCAAGCGGAAUGGCAUUUCUCUGCGAUUGCCCAUGGAAAAGGAAUAGCAGUGUAAAGCGGCUUGCAACAAGAGCAAGUCUUCAAAGAGGAAAUCAGCAGCCAAUUUUUACAGCAGAAGACUUGUAUGGGUGGGCACGAACUUCAAUAAAAAAAAAUUGAUUUUUUUUUCUGAGUAGAGAUAUUUAUGAAAAUAAAAAGCAAUUUCUUGAGAAUCGAUUUUCAAAAGCUUUGACUAUAAAAUCACACAAUGUUUCCACGCCGUCAUUCUUUCAGCUGUUAAGAAGAUUUUUUCAAUGUGAAAACUUUCUUAAGCUCAUUACCUGUUCAAGAAUUGAAAAUUGUCAAAUAAUGUGUAUGAAAAAUUAAUAUUCCAUUCCAAAACAUUAUU